GAUGAACGCUGGCGGCGUGCCUAAUACAUGCAAGUCGAGCGAACGGACGAGAAGCUUGCUUCUCUGAUGUUAGCGGCGGACGGGUGAGUAACACGUGGAUAACCUACCUAUAAGACUGGGAUAACUUCGGGAAACCGGAGCUAAUACCGGAUAAUAUUUUGAACCGCAUGGUUCAAAAGUGAAAGACGGUCUUGCUGUCACUUAUAGAUGGAUCCGCGCUGUAUUAGCUAGUUGGUAAGGUAACGGCUUACCAAGGCAACGAUGCAUAGCCGACCUGAGAGGGUGAUCGGCCACACUGGAACUGAGACACGGUCCAGACUCCUACGGGAGGCAGCAGUAGGGAAUCUUCCGCAAUGGGCGAAAGCCUGACGGAGCAACGCCGCGUGAGUGAUGAAGGUCUUCGGAUCGUAAAACUCUGUUAUUAGGGAAGAACAUAUGUGUAAGUAACUGUGCACAUCUUGACGGUACCUAAUCAGAAAGCUACGGCUAACUACGUG
rnacentral:rRNA from 1 species